GCCAGGUGUGGUGGCUCACGCCUGUAAUCCCAGCACUUUGGGAGGCUGAGGCAGGAGGAUUACCUGAGGUCAGGAGUUCAAGACCAGCCUGACCAACAUGGUGAAACCCUGUCUUUA
ensembl:misc_RNA Metazoa_SRP Metazoan signal recognition particle RNA